AUGAACGCCGGCGGCGUGCCUAAUACCUGCAAGUCGAGCGAACGGACGAGAAGCUUGCUUUUCUGAUGUUAGCGGCGGACGGGUGAGUAACACGUGGAUAACCUACCUAUAAGACUGGGAUAACUUCGGGAAACCGGAGCUAAUACCGGAUAAUAUUUUGAACCGCAUGGUUCAAAAGUGAAAGACGGUCUUGCUGUCACUUAUAGAUGGAUCCGCGCUGCAUUAGCUAGUUGGUAAGGUAACGGCUUACCAAGGCAACGAUGCAUAGCCGACCUGAGAGGGUGAUCGGCCACACUGGAACUGAGACACGGUCCAGACUCCUACGGGAGGCAGCAGUAGGGAAUCUUCCGCAAUGGGCGAAAGCCUGACGGAGCAACGCCGCGUGAGUGAUGAAGGUCUUCGGAUCGUAAAACUCUGUUAUUAGGGAAGAACAUAUGUGUAAGUAACUGUGCACAUCUUGACGGUACCUAAUCAGAAAGCCACGGCUAACUACGU
rnacentral:rRNA from 1 species